rfam:Sodalis praecaptivus strain HS1, complete genome.
GAGAGUUUAUGUUCACGUCUAUCCGUCUACUAAGCCUACUACUACACGCAGAAAUGAUGCGCGGCAGGCUGGUGCACGGUAUUCAGAACUGAAUUCGGGCCACUCCAGAUAAAAACCCGCGCACUGCGCGGGUUUUUUU